rnacentral:misc_RNA from 1 species
UUCUCACUGCCGUUUUUCGAUCGUUUGGCGGAUCGUAUGGUGAUCGUAUCGUGAUCGUAUGGUGAUGGGAUGGGGAUCGGCACGCCCGUUUCCCGAUCGCCGCGAUGGUAAUCGUGUGUUUGCAGUGAGAACCGGGAAAAAACAUGAUUGUGCGCCACGUUCGGAAGCGGCGGAUCGUGCGUCGUAGUGCGUUCCGUCGAAAGAUGGAUUGAGUUUAUCUUUUGCCUUGAUCGUAUCGUGCAUCGUGUGGGGAAAUUGCUGUGCUGCUGCUCUUCUUGCUGCUGCGUUGUGGAAGAUUUUGUGGGUGAUGGCCGACUUCUGGUCUGAACGAGCUGAGGAGCGACUCAUAGAAGCAAUCAAAGAAUAUACAUGGCUUUUUGAUUGUAAACAUCGUUGGUACAAAGAUAAAAAUAAAAAACAGAACUCAUGGAUGGAGCUCGCAGGACUAUUCGGAGAUGGAAUUGGUGCGCCUGAGGUCGAACGGCAUUGGCUCCUGAUGCGGGACAGGUACCGAAGGGCCAAGAAGGCGAGUAUGGCUAAAGUUCCGAGUGGAUCCAGUCGGCAAGACGCCGAGCGCUCGAGGCCAAGGUGGCCGCUAUUUGAGGCCAUGGACGCGUUCCUGGCGCGUCACACGUGCCAGAGGAGGCGGGGCGGGGACAGCUUCUCCGUUCGACCAGCCAGUCAAACAAGCGCCUCACACGGCAGCCAACCAGCUGUCUACCGACAGGAGGAUGGCUUUGUAAGAAGUCAGGACGUGCCGGCCUCCGUCAUCAUCAUGCUGGAGGAUGGACGGAUCCUCUCCGAGUCCGCCGCUACGCCUGGCGCGAACGACCAGGGCGGACCAUCAGCCGGGCGGCCCCGAGCCACAGAGCCGGAGCGCUCACACCGACGGAGCCGCACUCGCAGCCGCAGCCCAUUGGGCCAGGCGAGCCCAGCCGAGCCGACGCGGCAGCGCAGCGUCAGCCCAGCCGAGCCGCGGCAGCGCAGCGUCAGCCCAGCCGAGCCGACGCGGCAGCGCAGCGUCAGCCCAGCCGAGCCGCGGCAGCGCAGCGUCAGCCCAGCCGAGCCGCGGCAGCGCAGCGUCAGCCCAGCCGAGCCGCGGCAGCGCAGCGUCAGCCCAGCCGAGCCGACGCGGCAGCGUCGCAGCCCAGCCGAGCCGCGGCAGCGCAGCGUCAGCCCAGCCGAGCCGCGGCAGCGCAGCGUCAGCCCAGCCGAGCCGACGCGGCAGCGUCGCAGCCCUGCCGGGCGAGCUGGGCAGCAGCGCGGACGUGGUGGCACCGGACGCCCACCCACUUCGGUCCGCCAGCGUCGCCGCCACCAGGAUGAAAGGCAGGGGCAGGGCGCAACUUGGCAGGAGCAAUUCCUGUCCACAUGGGAGAAGUCUAGAAGGCCGAAUGACCGGGUAAGUGCCUUUGGGGACUACCUAACGCACUUAAUGCGCAUGGUGCCGGAGGAACGGACCAUUGACAUGGAGGUGGAGCUCGUGCGUGUCGUGCGAACCUUCAUGUGAAAUGAGCAUGCGACUGGCUAGUCGCAUGACCAUAUCACAUGUUUUGCCAUGUUAUCACAUAUUUUAACCCCCCCCCGUCGGUGCGAAGUUGGCGCAGACCCCCGUCGGUGCGCGGGUUAAGUUUUUCUAUAUCUUCAAAGUCAAAUAAUCCUGUGGCUAUUUGCGCGCGUUCAUGAAUGUCAUGUGGCCUUCAAUAAGUGUCACCGUGUUAUUGUUAGUUUUCAAAUUACGUGUCUUGCACAUAUCAAUGCGUCGAAGUGUGCCGCCGGUGGCGCAUCGGGACUCAGUCCUGUGUCAGUGUGCGCGCGUUCACGAAUGUCAUGUGGCCUUCAAUAAGUGUCACCGUGUUAUUGUUAGUUUUCAAAUUACGUGUCUUGCACAUAUCAAUGCGUCGAAGUGUGCCGCCGGUGGCGCAUCGGGACUCAGUCAUGUGUCAUGUGUCAGUGUGUUAUUGUUAGUUUUCAGUUUGUGUCUUUCAGGCAGUGCUAAGCUGCCGUAACGGGCGCGCCACCGCUGGGUUAUAUAGCGAGGCCGGAAGAUGUGUACUGGCGUUGGUCUUCACACAAUGCCUCAGUUGUGAAUGACUGAUUGUUUAAAUUAAAUAAAACCUUCGUUCUCAGGCCAA